rnacentral:sRNA from 1 species
GCUGGGUGCGGUGGCACACACCUGUAAUCCCAGCAGUCGGGAGACUGAGGCAGGAGGAUUGUGAGUUCAAACUCAGCCUCAAUGGCGGCAAGGUACUAAGCAACUCAGCAAGACCCUGUCUCUA